UUUUCUGAUGAAGAAUACUGCAGCAAUGUCUUGUCUGUUUGUCAAAAGUUAUCCUGGAGGGCUCUUGAGAUAUGUGCCCCCGUUAUAAUUGGAAAGAUGUGCGGUGACGAUGAAGCCGCUAUACAUGAGCCAUAUCCGCAUAACUACAUUGGCUUAGAAAGGCUUGAUAAAAGGGAAUGAAAGCAAACAGAAUUUUCUUCGCUUGGCCUCUGCCCUAAACGGGGUGGUUAUUGCACAAGACUUUAUUGUUAAGAUAUUUGAACAGUGUAUCACGUUUGAUGAUGCUUUGCAAUGGUCGAAAACUGUUUGCAGUACAGAAGACACGUCUGAAACCACAAUUAUGGAGGUUGUUCAUGAAAGUUAUGUUUCUGAAGUUAAGGAAACAUUCAGAAAUUUUAGGGACAGUGGGCUAUUACAGGUGUAUUUGGCCUCCAAUUAUUUAAGAAGACCGAUCAGGCAGUUUUGUUUGCUUCCUGGUGCCGACCAUUAUCGCAGUCG